AGCGAAAGCUGGCGGCAGGCUUAACACAUGCAAGUCUAACGUGCACUUCGGUUCUAGGGGCAGACGGGGGAGUAACGCGUGGGAGCGUUCUUUCCGGUUAGGAAUAAUCCAGGGAAACUUGGACUAAUACCGGAUACGCCCUUCGGGGGAAAGAGUUAUCGCCGAAGGAUCGGCCCGCGUCUGUGUAGCUAGUUGGUGCGGUAAAGGCUCUCGAAGGCGACGAUCAGUAGCUGGUCUGAGAGGAUGAUCCGCCACAUUGGGACUGAGACACGGCCCAAACUCCUACGGGGGGCAGCAGUGGGGAAUAUUGGACAAAGGGCGCAAGCGUGAUCCAGCCAUGCCGCGUGAGUGAUGAAGGCCUUAGGGUUGUAAAGCUCUUUUGUCCGGGAAGAUAAUGACUGUACCGGAGGAAUAAGCCCCGGCUAACUUCGUGCCAGCCGCCGCGGUAA
rnacentral:rRNA from 1 species